rnacentral:rRNA from 1 species
UACGAAGGGUGCAAGCGUUAAUCGGAAUUACUGGGCGUAAAGCGCACGCAGGCGGUCUGCUAAGUUUGGAGUGACAGUUGGUGGCUUAACUGCCAAGGUGCUUCGAAAACUGACAGACUUGAGGGCUUCAGAGGGACACGGAAUUCCGGGUGGAGUGGUGAAAUGCGUAGAGAUCCGGAGGAACACCAAAGGCGAAGGCAGUGUCCUGGGGAGUACCUGACGCUCAGGUGCGAAAGCCAGGGGAGCGAACGGG